rnacentral:pre_miRNA from 1 species
GCAAUUCGAAAAUGAAGAGAGCUAUCCGUCGACAGUAUAUAAUUUACACUGUCAUGGAGUUGCUCUCUUUAUGAACGAAUUC